CGGCACGGGUGAGUAACACGUAUGGAACCUGCCCUAUGCAGGGGGAUAAGCGGAAGAAAUUCCGUCUAAUACCGCAUAACACCAUUUGGAGACAUCUCCAGGUGGUCAAAGGAGGCGACUCCGGCAUAGGAUGGCCAUGCGUCGCAUUAGCUAGUCGGCGGGGUAACGGCCCACCGAGGCGACGAUGCGUAGGGGUUCUGAGAGGAAGGUCCCCCACACUGGUACUGAGGCACGGACCAGACUCCUACGGGAGGCAGCAG
rnacentral:rRNA from 1 species